GCACCCGUAGCUCAAUUGGAUAGAGCAUUUGACUUCGGAUCAAAGGGUUGCAGGUUCAAAUCCUGCCGGGUGCGCCA
rnacentral:tRNA from 1 species